rnacentral:rRNA from 1 species
AUUGAACGCUGGCGGCGUGCUUAACACAUGCAAGUCGGACGAGUGGCGAACGGGUGAGUAACGCAUGGGAACGUAGCGAGUGAUGGGGGAUAACUAUCGGAAAGGAUAGCUAAUACCGCAUACUAUUCGAUCGGCCGAUGUCGGAUUAGCUGGUUGGUGGGGUAAAGGCCCACCAAGGCGACGAUCAGUAGCGGGUCUGAGAGGAUGACCCGCCACUCUGGGACUGAGACACGGCCCAGACUCCUACGGGAGGCAGCAGUGGGGAAUUUUGGACAAUGGGCGCAAGCCUGAUGCAGCCAUGCCGCGUGUCUGAAGAAGGCCUUCGGGUUGUAAAGUACUUUUGUCAGGGAGGCGUUACCUGAAGAAGAAGCACCGGCUAACUCCGUGCCAGCAGCCGCGGUAAUUC